UAUCUACAAGAUUGUCGCGGAGGAAUUC
rnacentral:piRNA from 1 species